GACGAACGCUGGCGGCGUGCUUAACACAUGCAAGUCGAGCGGAAAGGCCCCUUUGGGGGUACUCGAGCGGCGAACGGGUGAGUAACACGUGAGUAAUCUGCCCUUGGCUUUGGGAUACCUACCGGAAUCGGUGGCUAAUACCGGAUACGACACUGGUAUGCAUGUACUCUGUGUGUUAAGUUUUUUCGGCUAGGGAUGGGCUCGCGGCCUAUCAGCUUGUUGGGGGGGUAAUGGCCUACCAAGGCUUCGACGGGUAGCCGGCCUGAGAGGGUGACCGGCCACAAUGAGGCUGAGACACGGCCCAGACUGCUACGGGAGGCAGCAGUGGGGAAUAUUGGACAAUGGGCGGAAGCCUGAUCCAGCAACGCCGCGUGAGGGAUGACGGCCUUCGGGUUGUAAACCUCUUGCAUCUCCGACGAAGCGCCGAUGAUGGUGGUGACGGUAGGAGAAGAAGAAGCACCGGCCAACUACGUGCCAGCCGCCGCCGUAA
rnacentral:rRNA from 1 species